CUCCAUGAUUUGUCUCUCUCCCCCUCACCCCAUCUCUCCCUCUCGCGUAUUAACUGUUGAGGGGAUUGUCGUCUGGUUCGAUGUCAUUCAUGAGAAGCUCAAACAUAAACGUAAUAUUGAAUGAUUUCGGACCAGGCUUCAUUCCCCCCAACAAUGUUUGAUUAGCGUUCACAGAAUGGAUUGAGGUUUUUUAUGCAAAGCACGCAUGACGGUCUUCCUGUCUUUGAUCUCUCUGGUCCAUUGUAAUUAAUUUCUUAUCAUGUUUUUCCUUGACUGGGCAUAUGUUUUAUGUAACAGGGUUUAAUUCAAUCUUCUCCAUGGUAGUCCUCGGUUAGAAUCAGAUAAGGGAUCCUGCAAGUAAAUUAAGGUUGGUGUUUUAUUGUCUCGAUCGAUAAUUAGUAUUUAAUUUUGCACGAACUAUUUUUGUGUUUUUCUUUUCCUCCGAUGAAGAGAACACACCUCAAUGCUAAUUCAGCAAUCAGAGGCGGCAGUACUUGGAACCAGGGGAGCAAGAAGAAGAAAGUAUCCAAAUUUAGUUUCCAAGCUUGGCUUUUUAAGUGUUUUUGCUUCGUCUAGUUUCAUAUGAUCUUCAGCGGCAUCACCAUUAACUUCUCAUUUGUACCAGGUGGGUCAGAUAUCUAUUAACUCUUGUGGGUCAACUUUAAUAAAUAAAAUUAGAACUACCAUAACUGGGAUCAGAUUUACAUGUGAAGCUCAUUAUUUCUGGUGGGUCAGAUUUGUUUGGUAUUGUUGUCAUGUACAUGUAUAUAUGUGUGUGUUUGUGAAGAGCAACUGCAGCUUCAUGUAAGGAUUGGCAAUGGAUAUCCAUUUCAAUGUGUACAAAA